UCGAUGGGACAGUUCCGGUUGGCGCGACAUGAGUAGGUUAAGUUCCUGCGCACGCUCCGCUUGAAGAAACUUUUGCAGCCCUCGCAGGUGAACUGGCCGUAAUGUUUGCCGCUCGACUUGUCCCCGCACACCACGCACUCGAUGUGCUGCUGCUGGCUCUGCCCCGAGUUCUGGCUGCCCUUGUCCCCGCCGGCCGUACCCGGCGUGGACGGAGGUCCCGGCUGGCUGGGGGUCUGUGGGGUGUGCGGCGCCGCCGACGCCGCCUGCUGCUGCUCCCUCGCCGGCUGCGCGGCUGGGUUGGGGCCGCUCGGAGGUCCUCCAGCCACGUCUUCCUGCGGAUCUCGCCAGACGCUGACUACCAUUGCCAUAUCUCGGCCACGGAAAGUGCUGUAGAGCGAAAUGUUCGCUGCUGGGUCUGGAGCGUGGAUGGGAAGAAAAAUGGCAGGCUGAGAGACGGGGGAAAAAAAUGGAUCGCGCUGCCAUCUAGCGUACGUUGUACAAUUACAACCUCCAGCAGAGAGUGCACACACGUCAAUAAAGAUGGAUUUUUAAAAAUUUUUUAUUAUUGCAUAAAGUUUGUUCCUAGAUAUCCUGACAUAUGCAUGACAGGGAAUGCGCAUUUUUUUUAUCAGCUUGUCAAUUUCUUUAUAAAAGUAAGACUAUAUUAGUUUAUAGGAACAUGCCAAUCGUGUGUGUGCAUAUAAAAUGACAUUAAAUACAUAUAUGCACUUUGCAAAAGAGAAAUAGCAUAAUACUUCAUAUUUGCGGAUAAUGAAGCUUAAAUAUGCAAGUGACCCCUUCGGAAGCUCAUAAAGGAGGGAUGGGUUGUUUUUCCCCCUUUCUUUCUUUAAAGUAUUCCAACAAGAGAGCUCUCUCUCCUUGCCUCGGACAACUCCAAUGACAACUCUGCGUGCAUGUCUGCAGCUCUUUGAAAAGGAGGAGAGAACACAUAGAGAGGGGCAGCGAAUGGGGAGCGGAGUGGGGAAAAUAAAAAGGGAGAAAGUGGACCACAGUGGGGCAUUGAGGGGAGAAGCAGCGGCGAUGGCGGUCUGCGUGGAGCUUCCCAGCACGAGAAAACAAACAUG